rnacentral:rRNA from 1 species
UGGGGAAUAUUGGACAAUGGGCGCAAGCCUGAUCCAGCAAUGCCGCGUGAGUGAUGAAGGCCCUAGGGUUGUAAAGCUCUUUUACCCGGGAUGAUAAUGACAGUACCGGGAGAAUAAGCUCCGGCUAACUCCGUGCCAGCAGCCGCGGUAAUACGGAGGGAGCUAGCGUUGUUCGGAAUUACUGGGCAUAAAGCGCACGUAGGCGGCUUUGUAAGUUAGAGGUGAAAGCCCGGGCGUCAACCCGCAGAUUGCCUUUAAAACUGCAUCGCUUGAAUCCGGAGAGGUGAGUGGAAUUCCGAGUGUAGAGGUGAAAUUCGUAGAUAUUCGGAAGAACACCAGUGGCGAAGGCGGCUCACUGGACCGGUAUUGACGCUGAGGUGCGAAAGCGUGGGAGCAAACGA